rnacentral:lncRNA from 1 species
CCCCCACUUCUCCCACACCUUGGCCACCGCCCCCCUGCCCAUCUCCUCCUCUCUCAAUUCUUGCAGCCACACCACCAAACCCUAGCCGCCCCCCAAUCUCCUCCUCCCAAGGUGCCAAUCCUUGCCGCUCGGAUCAUCGUCACGUGGUGCGAGUCUUCAAUCGUUUUGGUGGAGGGAAGAAGGGAGGAAGGAAAGGGGGAGAAUCCAAGGUGAUUUUUGUGUUCAUCCCUUGUUCAUUUGCGCUGCAAUUCAAUUGAUUAGAGGUUGCGUUUGCGAUUGGGUAGAGGGGGCUGUCCAGAAUUUUAGGUGGUGGAUGAACAACAGUAGUUGUAGCAGUUUCUGUGUUUUUUUUCGUGAUAAAUUAAGGGAAACCAGUUUGGGGAUCAUGUAGAACUUUAUCUUACCUUUCCAACGAGUAUUUAUGCGCUCAAUUUGGAGUUAUAAAUUGAAAGUUAUCACCGUUUGAAUCCGGGUAUGUGGCUGUAAAAAAACAGAUUUUCAGGGGGAUGAACAGCAGCAGUAUUAGCAGUUUCUGGGGAUUUUUCGGGAGUAAUUAGGGUUAAUCAGUAUAAGAAUCAUGAAGGGCUCUUUCUUAUCUUUCCAACAAGUACUUAUGCGCUUGAUUCGGAAUUAUAUUUUAAAAGUUAUCGCUGUUUGAAUCCGAGUAUGUCGCUGCCCAAAACAGGAAAAAACAGAUUGCAGGGUUUAUUUUGUGGACCGUUUAGGGGUAAUUAGAUGUUAGAAUUUAAUCAUAAAUUGUAUACAAAACUUGUGGGGAAUUUUAUGUAGUUGCCUCUGGAGUUUUUGUUUGACACCACUGCUGUCUUAAUUUUAAAGUUAUGGAAUUGUUAAGCAGCGCCGCUGCAGUUUGGUUGGUGUGGGUAGAUUUGUUACCCGCGGCGGGGUUUGAGAUUGCGCGUAGGUGCGGCGUUGUUUUGAGUUUUUUUUAUGUGAAUUUGGUGCACUAAGUUGGGUGUCAAAAACAGGUGGUGGACUCCCAGAUCGUUCUUAGGGAUUUGCCCAAACUUCCGGUGAAGGCAAGUAAAACUGUGAUGGUUAUUCCGUCUGUCAGAUGAGGAGUCUUAUACUUGAUUGUUGUGCUAUUGUGUUCAUAUUCAUAUUUUCUUUUGAGUACCAUCAUUUGAAAAUGUUCAUGUUUCAUGGAUUUCAUAUGUUGAGUUUGAGGUUUGAUUAUGUUACUCAAGUGGUUAUUAUGUGGAAUGGGUGGAAGUAAAUGUCUAGCACAUUUUUAUUUGGGAAGAACUCAUGAUGUUGUCAUGCAUAAUGCACUCAUCCUCCAUUGCAUUGAAGUUUCGUCGCGAUCUUAUGGUCCGACUGUACCGGUACAUUGAGCAUAAUAUGUUGCCCGAGAAGGGGUAUGGUGCAGCUUCAUAUCCUUAGCGAUAUGGAGGCAGAAGUCAUUAUUGCAUUUGUAGCCAUGUGCAUUCAUGGGAGAGGUGUGGAAUAUAUUAUGUGGAUGUGGAUAACUUAGAUUUGUGCAUGGUGAUUCUACUUGGCGUUGAGUUUUUAGUUACUUGUUUACUUGCUGCAAUUUACUGUUCAAAAGAAAAGAAAGAAGUUCUGAACACGUGGUUGUGUAAGCACAGUUGAUUUACAAUGUCCUAUUUGUUGUUGUUAUGUUUACUUGCUGAGAUGUGUUAUCUCACAUCUUGCAUUGUUUGAUGCAGACACCUAAUUUCUGCUUUGGGAAUAGAGGGAUGUAGCAGCACGGCCACUACACCUUUAAUAAAGGAACCACCAUUUAAUAAUGUUGUUAAUCAGAGUUGGUCAAGUCUAGUGGAUUGCUUUGUUCUUGGUUGAGCGUUUAUUUUUGGGUGAGCUGAGUUUCUUAUCCCAUGUGUUUUACUUCAGUUGGGACAUAAAUGAGCUUUACCACUUUGCAUCUAGUUUCUACUAUGUGAAUUAUAUGUCUUUAUAUCCUGUAUGAACUUCAUGUUUUCCCCUCCUUGUUAUGUUAGUUUCAAAGGAGGUGCUGCCGGAUUUUGCUAUAUUUUCUUUCUUUAUUACGCCUCUUGUGUGGAGUAAGUUAGGAGGGUGGGGUUUUAGGUGAUAUCAAUUGUGUGUGACCAGUGGGGUGUUACAUUUAAGUUCUAUAUAAUGAUUAUCCCCCAAAAGUCCAAGGAUGAAGAAUUAAAUGGUUCCAAGGUCAAGAGGAUUACACAAUCAUUCUGAAA